rnacentral:rRNA from 1 species
CGGGACGGGUGAGUAACGCGUGGGUAACCUGCCUCGCACAGGGGGAUAACAGUUAGAAAUGACUGCUAAUACCGCAUAACCCGAUAGGAUCGCAUGAUCCAGACGGAAAAGAUUUAUCGGUGUGAGAUGGACCCGCGUCUGAUUAGCUAGUUGGUGAGGUAACGGCCCACCAAGGCAACGAUCAGUAGCCGGCCUGAGAGGGUGAACGGCCACAUUGGGACUGAGACACGGCCCAA